CAUUCCAUGUGCUGUAAUGUCUAUUUUACAUAAUUGUUAAUAGUAAAGACAACAUGGAGCAGGUGGAAGACAAGUGCAGUAAGUUUCAGUUCCUUUUCAGUUUUCUGCUUUAAGAACACACACACAGCGAGGUGCAGACCAGUAUGAGCUUCAAUGCAAGUCAUCAAAUUUAAAAGGCGUUGCACAAUUCUUCUCCAGUACACCAUGCUCUAUUCUCCAAAUUUUUCAACUAUCUUACCUUCAUCAGGGUGGUGCCCAAGGUCCCUUCACUCAUAUACAUUUCACCAAUUCAUAAAUAUACCAAAGCUUCAGAUGGCCUUAAAACAUUAUUCAAAAACAUUGGCACAUAUUACAAAAGGAUGAACUAAUAAAGAAUCUUCAUAAGGAAAAGCCAAAAGUAAUAUUCAGUAGAAUGUAGUUGUAUUUAUAUCCUGUUCUUAUCUAGCACCUUUCAGGAAGUUGCAUCUUCAAUCUCAUUGUCCUGUCGUGCCAUGACAAUAAAGGCAUUCUACUCUAUUCUAUGUAAGGGACAAACUAGUACAUUCUGAAUAUAUCCCAUCAAAACUAAAACCUGUCUGUAAUAACACAAAUUCAAGAUGGAAAUUAUAAAUGCUAAGCUUGCUCACAAUGUAACAACACAACUAGACAACCAUCCAAAUACAGGUAAAAGAAUAGAAAUCAGAGGAGUGAUCUCAUGCAAUACAAAGGGUGUGAUUUAUUUGUUAAAGGUCCAGUGUGUAAUAUGUGUGGUAUUUAGCGGCCUCUAAUGGUGAGGUUCUAGAUUGAAGCACUCUGCUGCUCAACCCUCACCUUCCUAAGACUUUGGAGAGAUUCCAGAAGCUACGGUGGCCUUCAAGGACAAGAAGCUAUUUGUUGAAGAUGUCAUCGUCCACGACAACUUCGAGCAUUUCUAACAAGUCAAGCGAAGAGAGUCAAGUACUGGAGGUUAGAGGAGGAGGAAGAGGGCGAGAAAGAGGGCGAGUUAGCGGUGCUGCUGCAGGCAGGGCCGGGUGAGGGAGGAUAGCAAACACCAGCACCGCGGAAGCAGAGGAAGAGGCUGGAAACCCUCCAAAGGGACCGAAGCGACUGAGAAACUUCUUGAAGAGAUGACCUCGGAGGAGCACAGGCAGCUCACCAGUGAACUGCUUCAGAGGCAGCCAGGGUUCAUUUUUGAUGCCUUGAUGAUGCAUCAGUGCAGGCAUGGUGUCCCACCGUUUGCACCAUGUGCCAGGGGUACCAUGGUGUACUUGUAGUAACUGUAUAGACAUGCCUACAGACCGGGAGAGGAAAUGCUGUGGCCAGUACCCUGCAGAUUGUGUAAUAAUAAUACCGCACUUCUCCCAGUACUGUCUUGAAAAUGCUUUUUAUGCAUUCACAGGCGGUACAGGGAGGACAUUAUGUUAUUUGGCCAGACCAGGAAGCCUGGGGAUGACAACGGGGAGUACCGUUAUGCUGCCUAUAGACAUUUCAUCUAUCGACAGCAUGGCUCUUUAGACCAGGGAAACCGACUUGUCAUCCCCAGUUGCUGUGUUUGGAGGAUCAGGGACAAGUUCCCUGGUCCUCCAAAGACAUCACACUGGUUUCACACCUGGCCUCUGAGUUUCCCUCCAGGUCCUCUGGAACGUCCACACAGUAUCUCAGGCACUCACACACCUGCCUGUUCAUCAUCAAGGCAUCUAAUCAUCUCAUAUUUAUUUGUUACAUUUCUGA